ACACAGAUGCCAGCCUGGUCCACAGCUGGUCCCAGAUCUGGCCACCCAGGAAAGAGGAGAAUUCUUGUUGCCUUUAGUUUUAUAGCAUCCUCCGACACUUCUCCCCUUUCAGAGUGGGGCAAGGCUGUGUCAGUGAGGUUAAUAGAAAGGACCCAACAGCAGCCCUGCGUGUCAGAAUGACUUCCCUGGCUGGCUGUGAGAAUUUCUGACAGCAACCUUAUGGGGUUUAUGGCUGAGUUGUUUCUAAUCUAAUUGAAGUGACAAGCUUGCGGGCUCUGUCCUGAAGGGCGGCUGUCUACAGAAACGACCUCUGUUGCCUGGGUCUUCGUAGAAGUUAUAAAUGUUGCAUGACAUUUAUCAGACAGUAGGAUGGCAUGCUCAUUUGAAGAUUUCUCUUCCCACCAAGACCAGGUAUGUUUUGGGACACAAAUUUACCAGAUGCCAAUGACCCAUUACUUAUGGAGAGCUGCUUCUCAGUGCUCAAUGGAUGGAUGGAAUAAGCCCCUGGGUUGUGGAGCAGGAGACAUCCAGGAGAGGAGGCAGUAUGUAGGCAGAAGGAAGAACAGCCCAGUUUGUUCAGUAUGUGAACCGUGGAGAAUUCUAAGCAAUGUGCUUGUGGUGGUUUGAGUAUGCCUGACCCAUGGCUGUUAGGAAUUACGGUUGUGCUGGAAGAAGUGUAUCACUGUGAGUGUGGGCUUUGAGGUGUCCUAGACUCAUGCUUUGCCCAGUGAAGACAAGAGCCUCCCUCUGGCUCUCUUUAGAUCGAGAUGUAGAACUCUCAGCUUCUCCAGCAUCAUGCCUUCUCUCUCACUGCCAUGUCCUGCCAUGGUGAUAAUGGACCACACCUCUGAAACUGUAAGCCAGACCCAAUUCAUUGUUUGCCUUUAUAAGAAUUACCUUGGUGACGUUGUCUCUUCACAGCGAUGGAACCCCAAACUCAGACAGUGCUCAUUUGUUUUCAUUGAGAGAUAAAUGGUUUGAA
rnacentral:lncRNA from 1 species